rnacentral:rRNA from 1 species
UACGUAGGGGGCAAGCGUUGUCCGGAUUUAUUGGGCGUAAAGAGCGUGUAGGCGGCCAGGUAGGUCCGUUGUGAAAACUCGAGGCUCAACCUCGAGACGUCGAUGGAAACCAUCUGGCUAGAGUCCGGAAGAGGAGAGUGGAAUUCCUGGUGUAGCGGUGAAAUGCGCAGAUAUCAGGAAGAACACCCGUGGCGAAGGCGGCUCUCUGGGACGGUACUGACGCUGAGAAACGAAAGCCAGGGGAGCAAACGGG